rnacentral:lncRNA from 1 species
CUUUCCUAAAACACAAAUCUGAGCCUCUUACCAACUUGCAGAGAAACUUUCUUCCUUGUCAAUACCAUAAGGUUCAAUUGCUCUGUCAUGGAAGCUACGGUACCAAUCACGCCAGCCAGCUUCCUCAAGCUACUUAUGGUUUUCUGAUACAACAACAGUUGAGUGGAAAACAAGUCACAAGCCAGAGAGUAGAAUGGUUCCCAGAGAGCCGAUAAAAUCCAUAAGAAAGGACAUCAGGAGACAAUUCUUCUGACUGCCAACCAAAGAGAAUCAACACUACAUUCUGCCCUGAAUCCAAAGCACGGCUUUUGGAAAAUAAAGAUUUAUGAUCUGGAUAGAGGCAGCGAUGAAUCACUUGGCGAUACGUGUUUUCUGGCACAACUUGUCAAAAGUAACGAGCCAUGGUCUGUUCCAGAGUUCAGGUGGUUGUACAUGUUCUCUGUGAAAUAUGGAAUAGAAGGGAACACAAUUUGUCUGAGCCUCUGCACAGCUGUCCUCCAAUUACCGAG